AUGGUAGUGGGUGAUGUCGUAGGUGGCAGUGGCAGUGGCAUUAUUGAUGGUGAGAUGUCAGUGUGUGGUAGAGGAGGUGGUGGCGGUGGCGGGGUGGUAGAGAUGGCGUUGGCUGGUGGUGAUAGGGAGGGAGAGCAAUCGGUGGUGGAGGUGGUGGUGAGGGUGGUGGUGAGGGUGCUGGUGGUAAUGGCAGAGAUGAUGGUAGCGGUAAAAAAUGUUAUCUCAAGCUUGUCUCAACUUGAAGAGCUGGAUACAGGAUCAAAAUGGUGGGGAGAUGAAGAAGAAGGAGAUGCAAGCCUUACUGAGUUAGAUUCCUUGACCAAUUUGAAAUAUUUAGGGAUUCGCAUUAAAUCAUCAAGGUUCCUACCUAAUUACAACCUCUUUGAAAACCUGCAAAGGUAUGUAAUUUCUGUAGGAGUUCAUCUUCAAAAAAGACGAUCCUUCAAUAACAGGAUGCUUUUGCUGAAUCUUGAGAGUACAGAUACACAUUUAGGUGGUGGGAUCGAGAAGUUGUUAACUAACAACACUGAGAAGGUGUUCUUGACUGGUGAUGGUAUCAAAGUUGCUCUAAAGGAACUAGAUACAGUUGGUUUUCAGCAAGUCAAGAACUUAACUGUUGAAUCUUGCAACAGUGAAGGAAUAGAGUAUCUUUCAGAUUACAGCAACACAUCAAAUGGUAAUGGUGUGUUUAAUAAUCUGGAAAAACUUCGUAUGGAUAAAAUAUGGCAUUUGAAGGGAAUUAUACGUUACAAUGGAAAAGGGCUACCAGUUAGAUCAUUUUCAAAGUUACGCAAGAUUCAUCUGUCAGUUUUACCCGAAAUGACCCAUCUGUUUACGUACCGAGUUGCAAAUAAUUUAGAGCAUCUGGAAAGGCUUCAUAUAGAAUAUUGUAACAGUAUGCAUGAAGUCAUUUUGAACCAGAUACCUUCAGCAUUGGAAAGUACUAUUGAUAAUAAGAUUGUUUUCCCAAAGUUAACUGAAUUAAUCCUGAACGAUGUUGCAAGCCUUAUUUGUUUCUCCCAUGGAAUCAACCUGCAAGUUGAGUUUCCUCAGCUGAGAGUAUUAAAGCUUGAAUAUUAACAGAAUUUUCAUACCUUUUGUCCCGAGGAGAUCAAUCUUGCUUCCGAAGGCAACCACAGAGGCACAAACUUUCAUUCUCUUGUCAACCACAAGGUUGAAUUUUCAAGCUUGGCUGAAUUAACAAUCACAAAAAUGGGCAACAUUAAGCAUGUUUGGUGUGGCCACCUUCCUGAUCUAGUACAUCUACAAGGACUUUACAUUCAGUUUUGUCACAUGAUGGAAGAAGUGAUUUCAGUCCAACGUCCAUCAGUAACUACAAUGGAAGAAAGGAUUGUCUUCCUCAAAUUGAAAGAAGUAAUCAUAUUUGGAUUAAACAAGCUCACCUUCUUCUGCAAAGGAAUUGAUCAUGUUGAGUUUCCCCAGCUGAGAGUUUUACGACUUCGUUGGCUAACACAUUUCAGAAAUUUUUGUCCUGAAGAGACUACUGGUCGCACAUCUUCUCUCUUCAAUGACAAGGUCUCAUUUCCUUGUCUUGAGACACUAGAAGUCUCUGAACUUGACAGUGUUGAGCAGUUAUGGUCCAGCAAACUUCCCAUGAGUCAGUUUGGUAAACUAAAAUCUCUUAGAGUAGAGAAAUGUCACAAACUGGUGAAUAUAUUUCCAUCAGAUUUGCAAACAGUAUUUCCUAGUUUGGAGAAGUUAGAAGUGGAGAAGUGUGAUUCUCUCGAACAGGUGUGGGGUUAUACAGAAGAACAAAUCAGAAAGCUGAAAAGUAUAUUUGUCCAUGAGUGUCCAAUGUUGACAAAUUUGUGCUCUUUUUAUACAUUCAAGGGUCUAUCAAAUCUCCAGAUUUUGAAUAUAUCUAGUUGCAAGAUGCUGGAGGAAGUAGUUGGAUAUGAGCACACAUAUGGAAAAAUGAAAGAAGUUCUUUCUCUCAACAAACUAGAAGAACUGAGUCUUGCAUUUCUGCCAAAUCUUAGUUACUUCUCCCAUAACAAAUGUGACAUUGAACUACCAGAACUAACUCAUGUGAAUAUAAAGAGUUGCCAAGAAAUAUACACUUUCUCUAAAAGUUCGGUGACCACACCAAAGCUCAAAUAUGUUGUGGUUGAUGAUGUACGGAGAUGGUUGGGUGAUGAUGAUCUCAACAGUACCAUGCGGCACUUUGCCUGAAGAUGGGCAUAUUAGGUCUUCAAUGGUGUUGGCUACAAUAGUACACCAAAAACGAUCCGACAACAGUGGCGGAUUUAGGGGGGUUCCGGGGUGGCACCGGCAACCCCUAAAUUUUCCGGCCGCAGUGGAAAAAUUUUCGAAAUUUUUAAAAAUUUUUAUUUUUUCUACUAUCGUGCAACCCCUAAUCUUUCCGUGCAACCCCUACUAUUAAAUCCUGCGUCCGCCCCUGUCCGACAAGAUUUCUUCAAUUUCCCGAAACUAUAUCUUCACAAUGAUCCAUUUGAUGCUCUUCUCAAUGUCCUUUAUUAUCCUUUGUUGGUGUUUGAAAAGAGUGUAUCCCCAAAAAAUCCAUUUUCUGUAUAUAAAGGUGUUGUGGUCUUAAAACCCUAACACCCGAGUUGUGAAAUUAGUUUAUAAAGUAUAUGAAACAUAGUUUGGUAUUUUGUAAAACCUAGUAGUGUAAAUCCUUUGUAAAUCCAAAUAAUGUUGUUACUCUCUAUGUGUCUUUUCUUUGUAGAGUAAAAAUGAAUGUAUCUAGAAAAUCCAAUAUUUUCUUAAUAGCGAACUGUA